rnacentral:rRNA from 1 species
ACUGAGACAAGGGCCCAGGUCCUACGGGGCGCAGCAGUCGCGAAAACUUUGCAAUACACGAAAGUGUGACAGGGUUAUCCCGAGUGCCGACCGCUGAGGUUGGCUUUACCCAGUCUAGAAAGCUGGGGGAAUAAGGAGAGGGCAGUCUGGUGUCAGCCGCCGCGGUAAUACCAGCUCUCCGAGUGGUGUGGACGUUUAUUGGGCCUAAAGCAUCCGUAGCUGGCUGAACAAGUCCCCUGUUAAACCCACCGAUUUAAUCGUUGGCGUGCGGGGGAUACUGCUCGGCUAGGGGACGAGAGAGGCAGACGGUAUUCCCGGGGUAGGGGUGAAAUCCUAUAAUCCCGAGAAAGACCACCAGUGGCGAAAGGCUGUCUGCUAAAACGCGC